AAUAAAACCUAAAGGCAAAACAAAAGUAAAGAAAGCUUUGCUUUUUAAGGGAAGAUGGUUAAAUUUUAAUCCGCACUCCCGGGGCGUUAAUUACUCAUUGCUAGUAAAGGCGCACCUAGAGCGUACAUGUUGGGUCCCGAAAGAUGGUGAACUAUACCUGACCAGGAUGAAGCCAGGGGAAACCCUGGUGGAGGUCCGUAGCGAUUCUGACGUGCAAAUCGAUCGUCAGAGUUAGGUAUAGGGGCGAAAGACUAAUCGAACCAUCUAGUAGCUGGUU
rnacentral:rRNA from 1 species